rnacentral:lncRNA from 1 species
AUUCUACGUUAUCCUGCUCUCGUUGCUUACCCUUGCUAUUAUCACUCUAGCACAGGAGGAUGCCAACUACCUCUAUCAUAAUUGCCAAAACGCAACCACCUCCACAAUAAACAGCACCUACCGAGUCAAUCUAAAUCUCCUCCUCUCUUCACUUGCCUCAAAUGCAACCCUGAAUAAUACCAUUGGAUUCUACAACACCUCUUUCGGGCAGAGCACUGAUCAAGUGUACGGCCUGUUUAUCUGCCGUGGCGAUCUUAGCAACUCUGUUUGCCAAAAUUGUGUCACCUUCGCCACCGAAGAUAUAGUCCAGCGUUGCCCAAUCGGAAUAGCGUCCAUUGUGUAUUACGAUGCGUGCAUCCUACGUUACUCAAACAGGAACAUUUUCUCUAAGGUGGAUCAAAGCCCUGGUUUCUCCUUGUUAAACACACAGAAUAUCACAACCGAACCCCAGCGUUUUAACAAUCUAGUGGGAGCCACCGCGAAUGAUUUGGCUACUCGAGCUGCAAGUGCUCCUCCAGGUGCUAAAAAGUUUGCCGUGAACAAAACGUCUUUCAAUGCGUUCCAAAAUAUAUACAGCCUUGCCCAGUGCACACCGGAUUUAUCUAGCUCUGAUUGCAAUCGAUGUCUCAGUGCAGCUAUAGCUGGAUUGCCCAAUUGCUGCAGCAGCANNNNNNNNNNNNNNNNNNNNNNNNNNNNNNNNNNNNNNNNNNNNNNNNNNNNNNNNNNNNNNNNNNNNNNNNNNNNNNNNNNNNNNNNNNNNNNNNNNNNNNNNNNNNNNNNNNNNNNNNNNNNNNNNNNNNNNNNNNNNNNNNNNNNNNNNNNNNNNNNNNNNNNNNNNNNNNNNNNNNNNNNNNNNNNNNNNNNNNNNNNNNNNNNNNNNNNNNNNNNNNNNNNNNNNNNNNNNNNNNNNNNNNNNNNNNNNNNNNNNNNNNNNNNNNNNNNNNNNNNNNNNNNNNNNNNNNNNNNNNNNNNNNNNNNNNNNNNNNNNNNNNNNNNNNNNNNNNNNNNNNNNNNNNNNNNNNNNNNNNNNNNNNNNNNNNNNNNNNNNNNNNNNNNNNNNNNNNNNNNNNNNNNNNNNNNNNNNNNNNNNNNNNNNNNNNNNNNNNNNNNNNNNNNNNNNNNNNNNNNNNNNNNNNNNNNNNNNNNNNNNNNNNNNNNNNNNNNNNNNNNNNNNNNNNNNNNNNNNNNNNNNNNNNNNNNNNNNNNNNNNNNNNNNNNNNNNNNNNNNNNNNNNNNNNNNNNNNNNNNNNNNNNNNNNNNNNNNNNNNNNNNNNNNNNNNNNNNNNNNNNNNNNNNNNNNNNNNNNNNNNNNNNNNNNNNNNNNNNNNNNNNNNNNNNNNNNNNNNNNNNNNNNNNNNNNNNNNNNNNNNNNNNNNNNNNNNNNNNNNNNNNNNNNNNNNNNNNNNNNNNNNNNNNNNNNNNNNNNNNNNNNNNNNNNNNNNNNNNNNNNNNNNNNNNNNNNNNNNNNNNNNNNNNNNNNNNNNNNNNNNNNNNNNNNNNNNNNNNNNNNNNNNNNNNNNNNNNNNNNNNNNNNNNNNNNNNNNNNNNNNNNNNNNNNNNNNNNNNNNNNNNNNNNNNNNNNNCCUGGCACUCUCUUGAUCACACUCAUUUUUUACAUUGAUUUUGCUGUACAAUUCAUCAUUUUUGUUUUUUUUCCUAUCAAAUUUAAUCCUCACUCUUUUGAUUGUCAAUUUUUUUGCUUUGACAAGUUUUUUAAAUUGAUAUUUUUAAUUGGUUCGUAAUAAAAUUCGUGAUUGAACCCAGAUCCAGGGUUUCACAGGAUGCAAGUUUUAAAGAAUUGACUGGUUUAUGAUAUUUCCUGGGUUUGCUUGGUUUUUUAUUUUUAUUUUUCUUUGUCUAAGUUAAUUUUUUUUUCUCAUCUCAUCUUUUAAUAUUUAUUCAAUUGGAGUCUGGGUUAUAUAUUUUUUUACUUUGCUUUGUGCUAAUUUUUUUUUUUGUUUUGAAAAUGACCCAGUUAUCUUGAGUCUUUUAUUUAUCAUUCUUUGUUGGAUUUUUUUGGCUAAUUUUUUAAAUUGAUGAUAUCUUUUUUUUUAUUUCAUCCUUAAAUAAUUGAAAUUAGUUUUUAAACAAUUUAUAAGAUUAAAAUUCAUUUUCUAUUUCAUCUCCCUUUAUUUUUUUUUAUCUUUCGGAUUGUGUUCUCAUUUUUUUUAUUUCUAUUUGUUUUAUUUGAGAUAACUGUUUUAAUUUAUUUUCUCUCUAGAAUUUUUCAUUGAUUUUAAAAAUGACUUGGGUUUUCUCGAGUCUUUUUAUUUGUUGUUCUUUGUUGGAUUUACUUUCGCUAAUCAAUAUUAAAUUAGUUGAGAAUUGAGUUUCUUGAUUCAGCCUGGAUCUAGGAUAUAAAGGGUUGCAAGUUUAAGAUCUUUGUCUAUGUUUAAGAGGUUCGCCCGAUUUUUCUUGGGUUUUUUUCCAAGUUUAUGACUUUUUAAUUUUAUCAUUCAAUAUUUAUAUCAUUAAUGAUUAUACUUUCUUUCUUCAUUAUGAGCCUUCUAUAUGAUUUUUUUGAAUGUUUUUUUUUUCAGGUUCCAUAUUUUUUUAUGUUUUCCAUAUGCCAACCUUUUUUUUGUUGGGUCUAUCGCCCAAGUUAUAUUUAAAAAAAAAAAACAAAAUUAAAAAUUGUUUGCCUCGUAAAAUUACAAAUAUUUAUCAAUUUCACCUAUUUUUUUUUUGUUUUUUAAAUUUGAUCUUUAUUAUUUUGAUUGUUAUUUGUUUUGUUUGAGAUCACUUUUUAGAUUGUUUAUAUAUAUAUUCAUUGAUUUUAAAAAUAACUUGAGUUUUCUCGAGUCUUUUUAUUUGUUGUUCUUUGUUGGAUUUACUUUCGCUAAUCAAUAUUAAAUUAGUUGAGAAUUGAACUUCUUGAUUCAGCCUGGAUCUAGGAUUUAAAGGGUUGCGAGUUUAAGAUCUUUGUCUAUGUUUAAGAGGUUCGCCCGAUUUUUCUUGGGUUUUUUUUUCAAGUUUAUGACUUUUUAAUUUUAUCAUUCAAUAUUUAUAUCAUUAAUGAUUAUACUUUCUUUCUUCAUUAUGAGCCUUCUAUAUGAUUUUUUUGAAUGUUUUUUUUUUUCAGGUUCCAUAUUUUUUUAUGUUUUCCAUAUGCCAACCUUUUUUUUUUGUGGGGUCUAUCGCCCAAGUUAGAUUUAAAAAAAAAAACAAAAUUAAAAAUUGUUUGCCUCGUAAAAUUACAAAUAUUUAUCAAUUUCACCCAUUUUUUUUUUGUUUUUUAAAUUUGAUCUUUAUUAUUUUGAUUGUUAUUUGUUUUGUUUGAGAUCACUUUUUAGAUUGUUUAUAUAUAUAUUCAUUGAUUUUAAAAAUAACUUGAGUUUUCUCGAGUCUUUUUAUUUGUUGUUCUUUGUUGGAUUUACUUUCGCUAAUCAAUAUUAAAUUAGUUGAGAAUUGAGCUUCUUGAUUAAGUCUGGAUCUAGGAUUUAAAGGGUUGCGAGUUUAAUAUCUUUGUCUAUGUUUAAGAGGUUCGCCUGAUUUUUCUUGGGUUUUUUUUUCAAGUUUAUGACUUUUUAAUUUUAUCAUUCAAUAUUUAUAUCAUUAAUGAUUAUACUUUCUUUCUUCAUUAUGAGCCUUCUAUAUGAUUUUUUUGAAUGUUUUUUUUUCAGGUUCCAUAUUUUUUUAUGUUUUCCAUAUGUCAACCUUUUUUUUUUGUUGGGUCUAUCGCCCAAGUUAGAUUUAAAAAAAAAACAAAAUUAAAAAUUGUUUGCCUCGUAAAAUUACAAAUAUUUAUCAAUUUCACCCAUUUUUUUUGUUUUUUAAAUUUGAUCUUUAUUAUUUUGAUUGUUAUUUGUUUUGUUUGAGAUCACUUUUUAGAUUGUUUAUAUAUAUAAAUUCAUGAUUUUAAAAAUAACUUGAGUUUUCUCGAGUCUUUUUAUUUGUUGUUCUUUGUUGGAUUUACUUUCGCUAAUCAAUAUUAAAUUAGUUGAGAAUUGAGCUUCUUGAUUCAGCCUGGAUCUAGGAUUUAAAGGGUUGCGAGUUUAAGAUCUUUGUCUAUGUUUAAGAGGUUCGCCCGAUUUUUCNNNNNNNNNNNNNNNNNNNNNNNNNNNNNNNNNNNNNNNNNNNNNNNNNNNNNNNNNNNNNNNNNNNNNNNNNNNNNNNNNNNNNNNNNNNNNNNNNNNNNNNNNNNNNNNNNNNNNNNNNNNNNNNNNNNNNNNNNNNNNNNNNNNNNNNNNNNNNNNNNNNNNNNNNNNNNNNNNNNNNNNNNNNNNNNNNNNNNNNNNNNNNNNNNNNNNNNNNNNNNNNNNNNNNNNNNNNNNNNNNNNNNNNNNNNNNNNNNNNNNNNNNNNNNNNNNNNNNNNNNNNNNNNNNNNNNNNNNNNNNNNNNNNNNNNNNNNNNNNNNNNNNNNNNNNNNNNNNNNNNNNNNNNNNNNNNNNNNNNNNNNNNNNNNNNNNNNNNNNNNNNNNNNNNNNNNNNNNNNNNNNNNNNNNNNNNNNNNNNNNNNNNNNNNNNNNNNNNNNNNNNNNNNNNNNNNNNNNNNNNNNNNNNNNNNNNNNNNNNNNNNNNNNNNNNNNNNNNNNNNNNNNNNNNNNNNNNNNNNNNNNNNNNNNNNNNNNNNNNNNNNNNNNNNNNNNNNNNNNNNNNNNNNNNNNNUGUUAUUUGUUUAUUUGAGAUCGCUUUUUAGAUUGUUUAUAUACAUAAUUUCAUCCUUCGCGAGAAGUUAGUAUCUAAUAUUUGAUUUCGAUUCUUUUUAUUGCUAUCUUUUCUGAUUUUUCAGUUUUCUAAAUUAAUAUUUGUUUCAUGAUUUCAUCCGUUAAAAUUAAGUUAGUUGAGAAUUAAGUUUCUUGAGUCAGCUCGGGUCCAGGAAUUCUUCAGAGACAACGGUUAGAGAUUAACCGGGUUUAGAAGGUGUGGUUGAGUUUCCUUAGUUUUUUUAAAAAUAAUGUUUUUUUAUUACUUAACCUUUUUUUAGUUUUGCAUUAUUAUUUUUUACGGUUUGUCUUCUAUGAGAUUAAUCUAAGGUUCAUGCCCAGGGUUACCGAUUUUAGAGCUUAAUAGGGGGUAACUUUGUUUUUUUUUUUUAAAUGAUUAUUUUAUUUAUCCUUCAAUAUUUAAUUUAUUGGAAAGUGGUCUUCAUACCUUUUCUUUUUCUUUCCUUUUAUUGAUUUAUCUCGAUCAUGUGCCCAUAGUCACGAGGUUUGCAGGUAAAUCCAAGUUGACUCAUAUCUUUUCCCGUUGUCUUUUUAAAUUAUAUUUUAUUUUUUAUCAUUUAACAUUAAAUUGUUUGAUAAUUGAGUUUCAUGAUUAUAUUCAAUUUGCUUUUGAAAGUGGUCACUUUAGUAUCACAAUUAGGUCGUAAAUUUUGCAUUAUAAUCUCGGUGGGGGCACAUAUCGAGUUUUUUCAUCCUUUUUUAACUAUCUUUCUUUCUUAAUUUUUAUCCUUCAACAUUUUAUUUGCUAGAGAUUGAACUUCAACUUGUUUCUUUUAAUUUUUCAUUCUUUGAAGUUAUCAUAUUCUAAUUUGAUUUAUUAAGAAUUAGACUUUGAGCUUUUUUUCCUGCAUUUUGUUUAUGAGAUUAUCUCAAUCUUAUGUUAAUGGUCGUGAAGUUUGCAAGUUAACCCGUUUUAAUGGAGAUUGUUUUUUAAUUAUUUUUUGUUUUGCCCUUCAACAUUAGAGCUGUUUGAUAAUUGAGGUAGGCUCAUGUUAAGUUCUUUUUACCUUUUUUAUUUUUUUUGUCAGUUUAUUUAGUGUUGUUGUAUGUUGUUAAUCAUGUCAUUUGAAUUACUAAUUGAACCAAUAAUUUAAUUCUCAAAAAAAAAUUUCCUUAGCAUUUUUUUUAUACGUUGAAAACAUAUUUGGCUUUUGUGGAACAUAAAUCUGAACUAUCUCUUCUAUCCCAAUUUUUUUUUAUUCGUUAUCCUUUUACUAAAUAUUUGACUAUUAAAUUUCAGUAUAAUAGUAAAUGCAAUGGUUUUGAUAACCAUCACUAUUGCACGGAUGUUAUGAAAAUAGGCAUUGGUGCUUUCCCAUGGACUUUGAGAAAGUUUAACCAAAUUGCGAAGUACAUAUUUUGAUAGCAUUUGAUCAUUCCAUGAGAAAGCAAUAAUGAACUUAUAAGUUAAUUACUGGCUUGAAAGCCGCUUUUGACUUUAGAUCAUGGAAGGAAAGUUAUACACUCAGUCAAGUUCGUAAUUCAGUCCAAGACUUGAAUUAUAAGUUAGAUUAGUCAAUACAGAAAAAUCUAAACUAGGAUGAUUUCAAGAUUUAUUUUAAGAAACAUUUAAAAUGAUAUCAGGUUGGAAAAAAAUUUAAAAGAACAAAAAAAAACUUAUAAAAAAUUUUAUUCAGGUUUUGACCAGAUCAAUCAAAUUACAGGAUAAUCAAGUUUGACAUGGUUAACUCCCAACACGGUUUGAUAUAAAACCUUGUCUGAGCUAAUUACCGGGUCAACAAUUUGACUCGCCAAACCAAGCCAAGUUUAUAGUAUUUUUACUAAAAAAAUUAGUUAUCUAAAAUACUUUAAUAUCUUUUGUUCUUUGAAAAAAUGUUUCUUGACAUGUUUAAAUAUUUUCUUUUUUCUAAUUUCUUAACCCCUUCCCCCCACCCCCCAAAAAAAGAAAAAAAAAAGAAAAGAAAAAAGGAAAAAAAAAAAAAAAAAAGAGCUCCCAUGUCAUUCACAAAUGGAUUCGUCUCUGUCUGAAUAUGCUUGUAUGUGAAAGUUAAAAGCUUUUAUGAAUUACAAUGCGUUUUUGAAUGAUACAUGUUUCUUUAUGCAGAAAAAGGCGGUGUCCCAACAGUUUUAAUUAUGGCCAUUGUCAUUCCCAUUGCUGUUUCUAUCGCGCUUUUCAGCAUGUGUUUCUGUUUCCUGAGGAGGGCAAGAAAGACCAGAGAUUAUGUGCCAGAAAAUGAUGGUAAAGAACAUUAGAAAUCUUUUUAAUUGGGAAACAAAACAAAAGCAGAGUCUUUUCUGUUUUGUACUCCGCCUAAUAAUAUUUUCAAAAGCUCAAAGGAAUAUCUAAUUGUGUUGUGUAGUUGGAGAUGAGAUUACCACCGAGGAGUCCUUGCAAUUUGAUUUGAGUACUAUAGAAGCUGCCACGAACAAUUUCUCCGCUGAUAACAAGUUAGGUGAGGGAGGAUUUGGUGAGGUUUACAAGGUAAGCAACUCGCAAAGCAUUUAAAUUUUCAAGAACAGGAAAUACCUUGUUGCAUUAGGAUUUAAAAAUCCCUUGCUCAACCAUCGGUGAAAGUGCUUUCUCAGGGAACACUUCCUAAUGGACAACAAAUUGCUGUGAAGAGGCUAUCAAGAAAUUCUGGACAAGGUGCAGCAGAAUUUAAGAAUGAGGUUGUAUUGGUAGCCAAGCUUCAACACAGGAAUCUAGUGAGGGUGCAAGGGUUUUGCUUGGAAAGAGAAGAAAAGAUUCUUGUCUAUGAAUUUGUCAGCAACAAAAGCCUUGACUUCUUUCUAUUUGGUAUAUAUUGGUGAUUUUCUAAAUGUUCUUCUCAUUGCCUUUUAGUACGAGAAAUGCAUAUUUGCCUCUAGGAAUAUAGUCAAUUAUUCGUUAUCAGGCACAGUUGUCUUUGAAACAGUUGAUCUGCACUCUGACUUGAAGGUUCUGUUUUCUUGAUUUUAUAGACCCUGAAAGGCAAGGACUGUUGGACUGGUCCAGACGGUACAAAAUAAUAGGAGGCAUUGCUCGAGGAAUUCUUUAUCUUCACGAGGACUCGCGGCUACGAAUUAUACAUCGUGACCUCAAAGCUAGCAAUAUUCUGCUAGAUGGAGAUAUGAACCCCAAAAUCUCAGAUUUUGGCUUGGCUAGGAUUUUCGUAGUUGAUCAAACUCAAGCAAGUACAAUUAGAAUUGUUGGAACAUAGUAAGUUUGGAUCUAAUUCCCAUUGAUUGGUAAAUUCAUCUGCUGACAGAGUGCUUUCAUUUCGUUUUUUCUAAUCAUUUCUCUGUUUUCCUUGUUUGUAGUGGUUAUAUGUCCCCAGAAUAUGCAAUGCAUGGGCGUUUCUCUGUCAAGUCUGAUGUCUAUAGCUUUGGUGUCUUAAUCCUUGAGAUUAUAACCGGAAAGAAGAACAGUUCUUUCUAUCAAACAGGGGGUGCUGUAGACCUUGUGAGCUAUGUGAGUGCAAGUUUUUCUCUCUCGAAAACAGAGAGCAUAAGAUGUAGCAACUUUUAACCAUUCAAUUUUCUUUUUUCAGGUUUGGAAACAUUGGAGAGAUGGGACACCAUUGGAAGUGCUGGAUCCAACUCUGACAGAUACAUAUUCAAGAAAUGAAGUAAUUAGAUGCAUCCACAUUGGAUUGUUAUGUGUUCAAGAAGAUCCAGCAAUCAGACCCGCAAUGGCAACAAUUAUUCUCACACUCAAUAGUUACUCGGUUACCUUACCAUUACCUCAAGAGCCUGCUUUUUUUUUCCAUAGCACUAUAACAGAUGAAGUGAACAUUUCAAGCAAGGAAUUUCUUUUAGAAGAAUCUAAAAGCAAGUCUGUUGCUUAUUCUGUAGAUGAAGAUUCAAUUACUGAAGUAUAUCCUCGAUAGGGAGCAGGUGUAUUUUCUCUAAAAUAAGCAUAGAAAAAAAAAACAUGAGGUCAAUUUUUCAGUACCAAACACUUCAAAAUUGUGAUUUUCAUUGUUGACAAAUAAAGCACACAAGUAUUUUGAAUGAAUCUCCAAAGCUCUAUUGAUUAGCUCACACUUAUUUACACACUUAUAAUUUUGAAUAUAUUGGCUCUUAUAUUUAUAGGGAAAUUAAUCCUCUAACUUUCAUAAUCUAAUAAGUAUUCUAACUAACUAAUUAAGGAUUCUAAUUAACUAGUCUAACACAAAUAUUUUUUUUUUCAAGGAUUCCUAUUUACACAAUGAUUAUAAUUAUUCUCUAACAAUCUCUCCUUUAAAUUGUUGUUUUUAAACACCCAGUUUAAUAAUGAAUGAUUUUCAUUUAACCUUGUCUUGAUAUCUAUUUCACAACAAUGAUCCUUGGUCUUUUUAGAAGCUUUGUUAAUUCUCUAGUAUUGUUUUUCUUAAUGAUAACAGUUUCAUCAUCCAUAAACUUUUGCCACUUUAUUUCUUUUACAACGUUUUUAAAAGUCAUAGGAUCACACAAUGAGAAUAUAGUGAAAUGAGAAAGUGGAUCAACAAAUUAAUUGAUUUUAGUUGCCUCAUAAUUAUUGAUCCAUGUAGGCCUUUUUUAGCAUGUGGUGAUCGUUGGUCAUUAUUUACUGAUAUUAUCAAUGACACUUGAUCACCUAUUAAUUGUGGUGAUUUAUUCAUUGGCCUCUCUUUUUUCUCAUCAUUAAGUUUUUUUGUAUCUAAAGCAACUUCUUCCAACUCUAUUUUUGCUUUUUUUUCCUAAGAGAAGCAAUAUGUUAAACCUCACUUCUCUAUUCUAACUCAAAGACUUUCUCUUCAUCCUCCAAUUCCUUCUGCGGUAUCUCAAUGACUAACAAGAAGUCUACAUAUUCCUUCUAAAUCCUAUUGAGCAAUUCAGAGUGUUCUUGUUCCAUUUUAUUCAUGAAAUCUUCAUAUUUACGAUUAAGUGACUCAACAUCUUGUUGAUGUUGAUCUCGUAUUGUUUUUUCUCUAGUUUAUGGCUAUCAUGCUUAUCUUUGAGUAACCUAAAAACAAUUUCUCUCUCAUCUACUACACGUUCGACUUCAUUUCUUAGCUCUUCAUUUUUAUAUUAAUCAACUUUCAUUCAGUUUCAAUAUCAUAUUCAUCACGAUCAAUAAAAGUAACCUUCUUCUCUCAUUAGCAUUAACAUCACCAAACUUGAUAAAAUUUUGAUAAGAUUCAUCUAAACUAGAGAAAAUUGAUUUAUCUCCACUCAUAUGAUUGCUACAUUUGGUGUCUAAACAUCAUAAAUUUUGAUGAUAUUUCUCAUUUAUAUGAUAAGCCAUCAAUAAAGACAUUUUUUCUUUUUUUUUUUUAUGUAAAAUUAGAUUUGCCAUCAUUUCUAUUCAAAUUAGCAUGACAUUUAGAUUUGUAAUGUCAAUACUUAUGACACAUAAAACAUUCAACCUUUGAUUAGUCCAUUGGCUUUGGCUUGUAAAAAGUUAAAUGAUUAUUAUUAUAUUCUUUUUUCCCUCAUUUGAGAAUUAAAAGAAUGAUUAUCUUUAAAUUUCUGAUGUGAAAAUCUACCAUUAUUGUUGUUUGUUCUCCUUCCUCUUCCUUUUCCACCUAAAAAGUGAUUAUUAGAUAAAACUUGUAAAGCUUGCUCCUCUUUAUCUUGUUGAUUCAACUUUUGCUCAUGAAUUAGUAAGGAACUUUACAAUUCAUCAAUGGAAAGUUUGAAGAAUUACAAAGAAAAGAUAGAAUUUUCUAAUAAUAUUAUUGAUCAAUGUUACCGAUACAUAUACAAAAGUAUAUGCUGAAGUUAUGUUAUUGUUACAACAAGACAUGUUAUUGUUAAGUUUAACUAAUUACAUAAUUUUAUCCCUAAAUAAUAGGAGAUAAUCACUUCAACUGAUUUAUCUUAAUUGGGUCUCCAUUAUAGGAGAUAAUUACUCCAAUCACAUAUUGUAACAUCUGUCGCACGUGUGCGGCGUCACGGCAAUCGCCCACCCACACUUAAUGUGUGUGUGUAUCUGGAAAAUAUAGGGAGACAAGGAAUUCUUGUCUCUUAUCAGUGUAAAAUAGAAUAGGAGUCGCCACCUAGUAUUUUGGUCACUAGGAACCCUAACUGGUCUCAGAGAUCGGGUACGGAGACUGGUUGCGUAAAGGAAAGGUAUUAGCACCCCAAAUACGCCCUACCUAAGGUAAGCUGCAUUGUUUUAUUUGUCUGAUCAAAAUCUAAGGUUUGGUAGCGUUUUCUAAUUGUUGGUCCUGUCUGUCUAAGAUUCAAGAAAAGUCUUCCUCAAUAAGGAGGUUCUUAUCUUAUGGGGUAAGACCUAACCGUUCUAAUGUCUAUAAAAGAACUAUUGUUUUAAUAUCGAGAAUAUGCUUUACGUGUAAAUUCGUAAUCCCUGAUAUAAAAAGAAACAAAAUAAUUUUUUUUGGAUUUUUUUGAAAUAUUGGCCAAAUUCUCGUGACUUUAAUAAACUGGUUAUUAAAGCCAAAAUGCAUGAUAAAACAUUUUUUUUUUAAGUUUUCUUUGUUGUAUGAAAAUAGAAUAUGAGUUUUUUUAGCUUUGAGAGAUUUGGCCGUAUGCAUGAAAACAAAAACAUGUUUUUUUUUUUUUUAUGUUUUGACGAAAACCGGGUAUUUUAAUACCGAAUGUGUAUUUUUACGAUGUAAAAAUACAAACCAAUAUUAAGCAAAAUUUAGUAAAAAAAUACGUGGAAGAAUCACAAAUUUUCGAAAAUAUUAUUUUAAUUUUUUUUUUUGGACCGGGCUGGAACCGGCCCACUCAUUUUGGACUGUGCCGGACUUGUCCGGCCCAGUGAACAGUGGAGCACUCUCCACUGUUCACGCAGAACAGUGGAGAGCGACCGGAGAAGAAGCAAGAGAAGGAAACUGACCGGGCAGCGCUGGUGGCUCGCUGUGCUGGUCGCCGUGGUGCUGUUGUCGCGGUGGACGGCGGUGGUGGCAGACGGUGGUUCUUCUUCUUUUUUCAGUGUUUCUUCUUNNNNNNNNNNNNNNNNNNNNNNNNNNNNNNNNNNNNNNNNNNNNNNNNNNNNNNNNNNNNNNNNNNNNNNNNNNNNNNNNNNNNNNNNNNNNNNNNNNNNNNNNNNNNNNNNNNNNNNNNNNNNNNNNNNNNNNNNNNNNNNNNNNNNNNNNNNNNNNNNNNNNNNNNNNNNNNNNNNNNNNNNNNNNNNNNNNNNNNNNNNNNNNNNNNNNNNNNNNNNNNNNNNNNNNUGGCAGCUGCUGUGAUGGUGGUUCUGCGGCGGUUCUGUCGGUGGUGGCUGGGAGGAAUGGUGGAGGCGCUGGUGGAGGUGCAACGGUGGCUCUUCUCCUCCCUCUUCUGUCUUGCUCUUUCACUCUCCUUUCCCCCUUCUCUUCCUUUUUUCUUCUGUUUUGCCUGAGCUCCUCUCCUCUCAAACAAACUCCUCCCCCCUGUUUUCUGUUCUCCCCUUUUCCUUUUUCAAAACUUUCCCGCCCCUCCUGUUUCUGCUUCUUUCCUUCUGUUUCGGCCUCCCUCUCCUUCUCCAAAAUUUUGCCCCCCAGUUCGUUCCUCUCUUUCUCAAAAAAAUCCCCCCCCGUUUUCUGUUCUCUCCCCUGUAUUUAUAGGCAACCGGGGGAGAGGUUCACCAUACCCUGUCCAAGUGCAGGGCAUGGUGGCGUGGGAGUUGCAGGGUAUGGUUGUGUAGGUGUGGGUAUGGGUCAUGCAGGAUUUUUGGGCAAGUGGGGUGGAGAGAGAGAGGGGAAGGAUAGCGGGAAAAAUUUUCAAAAAUCUCCUUCUCCCCUGUCUCUGCAUUUGCAGGGGAGAAGAAGCUGCACAGUGCCGUUCAAAACACCACCGUGCAGUUUUUUUUUUUUUUGAAGAAAAGGAAAACAAAAUUUGGGAGUGACCCAAAAUUGGGUUAUGACAGUUGCCCCCCUCUUUACAAUGCUUACGGAGCAAAGACUUUGCAUAGUAAGCUUGUAAAGAAAACAAAAGGAAAUAAAAUGAUCUGAUUUAUCUUGGGCAACCUGCCCACACACGCUCACACUGGUCUUGGUCUAUUUUCAUGGGCGACCUGCCCACACACUCAUAAUGGUCUAUUUUCAGGGGUGACCUGCCCACACACGCUCCCACUGGUCUAUUUUCAUGGGCGACCUGCCCAAGUACUCAAAGUGGUCUAUUUUUAGGGGCGACUAGCCCACACACUCACACUGGUCUAUUUUCACGGGUGACCUGCCCACACACACUCACACUAGUCUUGGUCUAUUUUCAUGGGCGACCUACCCAAGCAUACUCAAAGUGGUCUAUUUUCAGGGGCGACCAGCCCACAACUCACACUUACCCUGGUCUAUUUUCAUGGGUGACCUGCCCAAGUAGAAAAAGAAAGAGUGGUCUCAUUGUAAUGGGUGACCUACCCAGGUGAAGGAAUGGUCUCAUUGUAAUGGGUGACCUAGCCAGAUAAAAAACAUGGACAAUUUGGUCGAAUUGUAAUGGGUGACCUAUCUAAAAUGGGAAAAAGGAAAAGUGGCCGUGUUGUAAUGGGUGACCUACCCAGGUGGAGGAAUGGUCUUAUUGUAACGGGUGAGAAAAAGGUAGAGUGGUCGAGUUGUAAUGGGUGACCUACCCAAGUGGAGGAAUGGUCUCAUUGUAAUGGGUGACCUACCCAGAUAAAAAAACAUGGGGAAUGGUCGAGUUGUAAUGGGUGACCUACCCAAAAAUGGAAAAAAGGAAGACUGGUCGUGUUGUAAUGGGUGACCUACCCACGUGGAGGAAUGGUCUCAUUGUAAUGGGUAACCUACCCAGAUAAAAAAAAACAUGGAGAAUGGUCGAGUUGUAAUGGGUGACCUGCCCAAAAAUGAAAAAAAAGAAGAGUGGUCGUGUUGUAAUGGGUGACCUACCCAAGUGGAGGAAUAGUCUCAUUGUAAUGGGUGACCUACCUAGAUAAAAAAACAUGGAGAAUGGUCGAGUUGUAAUGGGUGACCUACCCAAGUGGAGGAAUGGUCAAAUUGUAAUGGGUGACCUACCCAGAUAAAAAAAACAUGGAGAAUGGUCGAGUUGUAAUGGGUGACCUACCCAAAAAUGGAAAAAAGAAAGAGUGGUCGUGUUGUAAUGGGUGACCUAUCCAAGUGGAGGAAUGGUCUCAUUGUAAUGGGUGAGAUAAAAAAAACAUGGAGAAUGGUCGAGUUGUAAUGGGUGACCUACCUAAAAUGGAAAAAGGAAAGAGUGGUCGAGUUGUAAUGGGUGACCUACUCAGAUAAAAACAUGGAGAAUGGUCGAGUUGUAAUGGGUGACCUAUCCAGAUAAAAAACAUGAAGAAUUGGUCACGUUGUAAUGGGUGACCUACCUAAAAUGGAAAAAAGAAAGAGUGGUCGUGUUGUAAUGGGUGACCUACCUAGAAAAAAAAACAUGGAGAAGUGGUCUAAUUGUAAUGGGUGACCUACCCAGAAAAAAUGUUGGUCUCAUUGUAAUAGGUGACCUACCCAAGUGGAAGAAUGGCCUCAUUGUAAUGAGUGACCUACCUAGAUAAAAAAACAUGGAGAAGUGGUCGAAUUGUAAUGGGUGACCUACCCGGAAAAAAGUUGGUGAGGGCUCAAAGGCGUACUCGAAAUGUGGUAGGGUUAGAAAACACACUACCUGAGAUGGUGGCUCAAAGGCGCACUCGGAAUGAGGUAGGGUUAGGAAACGCACUACCUAAGAAGUGAGGGCUCAAAGGCACACUCGAAAUGAGGUAGGGUUAGAAAACGCACUACCUGAGAAAUGGUGGCUCAAAGACGCACACAAAAGGAAGUGAGGGCACAAAGGCGCACUCAAAAUGAGAUAGGGUUAGAAAACGCACUACCCAAAAGGUGAUGAUGAAACACCGAUCUGACAAUGUUGAAAAUAAUGCAUUAUGAUCAAUAUGCAUGUAUACUUACCUGAGAAAUAUAGGUCCCCAUUUCUUCAUGGUGUCUUUCUUUUCUCAAAAGUUGGAGUGUUGGCAGUAAACUUCAACGACUUUUUCUCUCUUGCUUACUCGAGUCAUCUCUUGUGAUCUUGACCUCUGGGAAGGGCUUGAUAUCCUCAUACUUCUUUGUCCUCCACCCUUUAUCUCAAGGGUUGCCAAUUUUGCCUGGUAUUUUCUUAGAAAGGGAAUCAUGAAGCCAGCCCUACCAGGAGUUUUUGAUUGCCCCCCAGCUUGAUCAUGCCCUUAAGUAUUCAAUUCGGGUUUGGGGAUGAGGCUAUGUGAAGGAAGGUUUGACAAGGAGUUGUUUUCAUGCAGAAAUUUUGGAAUUUCAAAGCUAUUCCAGACACAAAAAUCAUUUUGACAUCGAUUCAAAGCAAAUUUAUUCUGAAGAAAUUCAAGUAAUUCCUAUGGAGAGGUUUUCAGAAAUGAUGAAAACUUUUUAUUUGCUUUUGGUGAAAAAUACGAAGUGACAUCUGGUUUGUCAAAAAAGGUUUAAAUUUCAAUUUGAGGGUUAUUGAGAACCGAUUUUCAAAGCAUUUAUUUUAUUUGCAUGAAUAAUGAUUUAGGUCGCAUGAGAAAGCACUGUCUACCGAUCCAGAUUGCUUGCCUUUGAUCAGAAAGGGCUUGAUUAGGCACGUAAUAUAGGCUUGGGCUAUUGGUUAUGAAGAAUGGGAUAUUUGUAAGCUCAAAAGGUGUUUAAGGGAUUUCAAGACUAAGGAUCACUUGUGCUUGUUUCUUGACCUUUUGUCAUUUGAAUGUAUUUCCAAAAUGGUUUAUCAUGCCCCCCAGUGUUGGGCUUGGGUUUUUCAUUUUUUUUUUCACUUGGUUGAGCAUCAUCAUAUCAGCUAUUUUUGUGAGAAGCUCAAUUCUUUUGUAUCCUUUGGAUUUUUUUUUCAUGCCCCCCAGUUUUGUUUGGGCAUCUUUGAUCAUUUCAUGCCCCCUAGUGUUAUUUUAUGCACUUUUCAGUAUUUAGGGUUUUGAUAUAUCUCAAGCACUUGCCCCCCCAGUGUAGGGUGUGAUCCUAGCCAAGGUUAUUUUCAAAAACUUUACUAGGCUCAAAAAGGACUGCAAAGGAUAUAUUUUUAGCUUCGUGAAAGGAUUAUCAAAGAUGGCCUUUUUUCAUCUCAAAGGCAUGCAUUUAGGAUCGGUAAGCCUUGCUUUCAUGUGAGUAUGCAACGUGAUUUCUCAUUAUACAUUCAAAUAAAACUCAACUUUGGAGUCACCUCACAGUGUUUUUUUUUUGUUUUUGUUUUUUUUUUCAGGUUUUCUCGAAGUAUGGUUACUUUUCUAAGGAAUCACUUGAAUUUCCAGAACUUGUUUGUUUGAACAAACACCAAAAUGAUUUUUGUUUCAUAACAAAAACUUCGAAUUCCCAAAAAAUCUUUGUGAACAUGUGAAAUCAUGUAUAGUUUUGGAAGAAAAGGGAAAACAUCCGUGGUUUCGUGAGUAAAAAUUAUACUCAGUGUGUUAUUUGUAAGAAACAACAAGAAAAAUGAAGGUAUGUCCUGAACACAGGAAAACACAUGAUUUUAUUAACAAGAAGCCUCAUUUGACAGAGAAAGUCUUAUGGCAUUAUGAGCCAAAUUACCAAUAAAAACUGGAACAUGGUGAAACAAAAAAAAUCAAGAAGUUUUGCAGGCAUGAUCAAACAGAGGUAGUUAUUUUUGGACAGAGCAAGAACAGGCUCCAUUCUGCAACUGUGAUGCAAUUCCCCUUCGGUCAGCCUUCCCACAAAAGCUUUUGUAGAAAUGUUGGAUUGUGUUAAGGCCCUUGACCAUGUUUGCCUCUUAUUUCUUCGGGCUGAGUCGUUGUUGGGGACUGAUUGAAAGUGACGGGAUGAGUAGAAGGACCUUCCUCAGAGGUAUUUCCUAGUAUUUGCUCGAGUAAGCUAAAGGCGAGCCACGCUUGUCUUCAGAGACUCCAACUCUUCUUGAAAAUGGGCUUCAUGGUGAGUACACUCUUCAUCUUCCAUGUUUCUCGUUCAGAUUCAGGUGUUGUAAACUCUUUGGGGACCUAUUUUUCAACUUGAUACAUGUGUGUAUGGAUGCAAGUGUAUGUACAUGCGUAUUAGGGAGUUCAUACUCUAAGGAUAGGUUUGGGCCAUUACAUGAUGGGUGGCUUUCUACCUGGUCUCAUAAGGGUCUCUUGCUGUCCCAGUGAUCACCCUCGUGAAGGCAAUAUAGGGGCUCAGUAGGUAAUGGGAUGGCAUAUGCACCAAUCAUUACCAGUCUAAGCUCUCAGCGAAGAGUUGGGGUUUACACAAACUUAAACCUUGACUAAAAGUUGUAAGGUAAGCUGCUAGUCCCCCACUUAACCUAAAGUUUUUUUUCAGUAUAAUUCCCCUCAAAUGUGAAUGAUGCAUGAAAUAAUUUUAUACAAUGCAUGAACAAAUAUGUACAAAAUUUAAAGCGUAUGAGCAAAUGAGAAUGAAAAUUAACAAUAACACAAAACCAAACAAUAAAACACGAUGAUCAGAUAAAAAACAAAGCUUAGUCCACAAGGUCCCAGUGGAGUCGCUAUUCUGUCGCACGUGUGCGGUGUCGCGGCAAUUGCCCACCCACACUCAAUGUGUGUGUGUAUCUGGAAAAUAUAGGGAGACAAGGAAUUCUUAUCUCUUAUCAGUGUAAAAUGGAAUGGGAGUCGCCACCUAGUAUUUUGGUCACUAGGAACCCUAACUGGUCUCAGAGAUCGGGUACGGAGACUGGUUGCGUAAAGAAAAGGUAUUAGCACCCCAAAUACGCCCUACCUAAGGUAAGCUGCAUUGUUUUAUUUGUCUGAUCAAAAUCUAAGGUUUGGUAGCGUUUUCUAAUUGUUGGUCCUGUCUGUCUAAGAUUCAAGAAAAGCCCUCCUCAAUAAGGAGGUUCUUAUCUUAUGGGGUAAGACCUAACCGUUCUAAUGUCUAUAAAAGAACUAUUGUUUUAAUAUCGGGAAUACGCUUUACGUGUAAAUUCGUAAUCCCUGAUAUAAAAAGAAACAAAAUAAUUUUUUUUGGAUUUUUUUGAAAUAUUGGCCAAAUUCUCGUGACUUUAAUAAACUGGUUAUUAAAGCCAAAAUGCAUGAUAAAACAUUUUUUUUUGAAGUUUUCUUUGUUGUAUGAAAAUAGAAUAUGAGUUUUUUAGCUUUGAGAGAUUUGCCCGUAUGCAUGAAAACAAAAACAUGUUUUUUUUUAAUGUUUUGACGAAAACCAGGUAUUUUAAUACCGAAUGUGUAUUUUUACGAUGUAAAAAUACAAACCAAUAUUAAGCAAAAUUUAGUAAAAAAAUACGUGGAAGAAUCACAAAUUUUCGAAAAUAUUAUUUAAAUUUUUUUUUUUCACCGGGCUGGACCCGGCCCCCUCAUUUUGGACUGUGCCGGACUUGUCCGGCCCAGUGAACAGUGGAGCACUCUCCACUGUUCACGCAGAACAGUGGAGAGCGACCGGAGAAGAAGCAAGAGAAGGAAACUGACCGGGCAGCGCUGGUGGCUCGCUGUGCUGGUCGCCGUGGUGCUGUUGUCGCGGUGGACGGCGGUGGUGGCAGACGGUGGUUCUUCUUCUUCUUCUCUCCUCUGCUUCGCUGCUUCUUCUUCCUCUGUUUCUAUUUUUUCAGUGUUUCUUCUUUUAUUUCUCACGGUGCAGGGCUGUUAUCAAUGACGGGGAGGACGGUGGCAGCUGUUGUUGGCGGCGCUGCUUCCAACGGCGAAGAGAGAGAAGCCGAAGAGAGAGAUUAUUGUUCUUCUCUUCUCCUCUGUUAUCUGUUUUUUUCCGUCCCCUGUGUUAUGUUCUUCUUUUUUUUUUCUGCUGGUGGUGGUGGCAGCGACUGGGACUGCGGACGGUGGCUAGGAAACCAGGUGGCAGCUGCUGUGAUGGUGGUUCUGCGGCGGUUCUGUCGGUGGUGGCUGGGAGGAAUGGUGGAGGCGCUGGUGGAGGUGCAACGGUGGCUCUUCUCCUCCCUCUUCUGUCUUGCUCUUUCACUCUCCUUUCCCCCUUCUCUUCCUUUUUUCUUCUGUUUUGCCUGAGCUCCUCUCCUCUCAAACAAACUCCUCCCCCCUGUUUUCUGUUCUCCCCUUUUCCCUUUUCAAAACUUUCCCGCCCCUCCUAUUUCUGCUUCUUUCCUUCUGUUUCGGCCUCCCUCUCCUUCUCCAAAAUUUUGCCCCCCGGUUCGUUCCUCUUUCUCAAAAAAAUCCCCCCCCAGUUUUCUGUUCUCUCCCCUGUAUUUAUAAGCAGCCGGAGGAGAGGUUCACCAUACCCUGUCCAAGUGCAGGGCAUGGUGGCGUGGGAGUUGCAGGGUAUGGUUGUGUAGGUGUGGGUAUGGGUCAUGCGGGAUUUUUGGGCAAGUUGGGUGGAGAGAGAGAGGGGAAGAAUAGCGGGAAAAAUUUUCAAAAAUCUCCUUCUCCCCUGUCUCUGCAUUUGCAGGGGAGAAGAAGCUGCAUGGUGCCGUUCAAAACGGCACCGUGCAGUUUUUUUUUUUUUAAGAAAAGGUAAACAAAAUUUGGGAGUGACCCAAAAUUGGGUUAUGACAACAUCCCUCCUCAAGGUGGUGCAUAGAUGUCACACAUGCUUAGCUUGUCAAGACAACUCAUAAACACUUUGUUGGAUACUAUUUGGUAAGAACAUCAACAAGUUGAAAUUCUAGCUUCAAGCUUGUCGCACCCGACAUCGCGGCGGCCUUAAAAAUUUAUUAAAUCUUUGGAAAGAACGGAUUUCUGGCAUCCUGUUCUUUAAUGAGGAUAUUCUUUGUUUAAGGAGUCGCCACCUAGUAUUAUGGUCACUAGGAACCCUAACUGGUCAACAGAGAUUCUAUGGUACGAGACUGGUUACGCAAAAGGGAAGACAUUAUCAUCCCUUAAGCGUCCUGCCUAAGGCAGGCUGCAUUGCUGACUUUGUCAUAAAUUGCUAAUGUUUUGUUGGUUUAUGCUACGGUGGUUUUGCGUGUAAUAUUCCUGACUAUGGCGUCAGUGAAUAUUUAACUACAGAUAUUUCCAACUCUGGCGUUGGUAAAUAUCAUGUAGCUAUAAAAACAAAAUAAAUUUAAAUCAGUUAUUUUUUUAUUCCUGACUCUGACGUCAGUGAAUAAACAAAUCAAAUAAAUUUAUUUUUACGCAUCACAUAAAAAAUAAAAUAAAUUUAAAUCAGUAUAUUUUUUUUUAUUCCCGACUCUGGCGUCAGUGAAUAAAUAAAUAAAAAUAAAUUUAUUUUUACGCAUGCACAUAUUUUUUUAUUUUUUUCUAGCUAAAUAAAAUACAACGAAUAAAAAUAAUAUAAAUUUAAACCGGUAUUUUUAUUCCUGACUCUGGCGUCAGUGAAUAAACCAAUAAAUUUACAUUAUUUUUAUUCAUGCAUACACAUUUUUUUAUUUUUUUAUUUUUCUGCUUUUUAAUUUUUUAUUUUUGGGCUGGGUUGGGCUAAAUCCAGCCCAGCAUAUAUAUUGGUGGCUAGGCUGAGCUCAGCCCCAUAGGGGCUAGGCUAGGCCCAGCCAGCCCGGCCCGGUCACUGGCCCAAGCCAGUGACCGGCUGAUGCACGCGUGAAGCACUUUCACGCGUGCAUCAACAGUGCGAAGGUAAUUAAAUUACCUUCGCACUGUUCAAAUUCAAUUUGAACACAGAAGAGCAAAAACAAAUGGAAACGGGCGCACCUGUUUCUGGAGAUUGUGAAGAAGGCUGCAAUGUUGGUGGGGUUCGACUGCUUUCCGUUUCUGGCGAUGGUGAAGAAGGAUGCAAUACUGGUGUGGGUUUGAAUGCUUUCUGUUUCUGGUGAUGGUGAGGAAGGCUGUUGGUGACUUUCGCCUUUUCCUUCUGUUUUCCCGGAAACGAGAACGAAGAUGCUGGUUUCUGUGGGUAUUGAUUUUUGGGUCGUUUUCUGCAGGGAUGAAGGCAACGGCAGAGCUGAUUCCUCUCUCUGUGUAAAUUUUGUAUGCUCUGUUUUACUCUGUUUUUUUUUACUCGGUCUUUGCUCUGUUUUUUUUUUUUUGGGUCUCCUCUUCCCCCUGGUUCUGUCAAUUGUUGGGUAUUUAUAGGGACCAAUCUUCCUCUCCCUCAGCCUCACGUCUCUCCUCCUGAUAAGCACGGCUGAAGGAGACGGUUUCUAUUAGGACUCGGACGCGAAGUGUAAUCCUUAUCUCGCCGGGUUGUGAUUAUCAUGAAGAUAAAUACUGCUUUUCUGUGUUUUGAAAGGACUAGGAUGCUGGUGUUUCACCCUUUCGUUUCCUUCUUUCCAGGCGGGUGUUUGGUGCUUUGGAGAUGAAGAUGACGGACAGCACGGUGUUGUUUUGGGGCUGAGAAUGGUUAUUUCCAAUCUGGUCCUUGAAGUUUCUAAAUCCUUGCAUUCAACCCCUGGUCUUUUAAUUUUCAAGAUUUACCCUCCUUAAAAUUAAUUUAAAAAUAAGUGGGUCAAAAUUAGGUUACAACAGUUGCCCCCUCUUUACAAUGCUUACGGUGCAAAUGCAUUAGAAAAUUUAUUUUCUUUUGACUUUGUAUAGUAAGUUUUGUAAAGAAGAAUAAUUGUGAAAACCCUUCCUCUUUUCAUCCUUUUCUUUUUUCUUUUUUUCUUUUUUUUUGAUUGAUUGGUUUUUUUUUAAAUGGUCUAAUUGUUCCAGGCGACCUGCCCGAUAAAGAAUAAAAUGCGAGGAUUUUUUUUUUGUGAUGGUAUAUUGUAAUGGGUUACCGGCCCAGAUGGUCACAUUGUAAUGGGUUACCUGCCCAGUAUAGGAUGGUAUAUUGUAAUGGGUUACCGGCCCAGUUGGUCACAUUGUAAUGGGUUACCUGCCCAGAUGGUCACAUUGUAAUGGGUUACCUGCCCAGAUGGUAUAUUGUAAUGGGUUACCUGCCCAGAUGGUCACAUUGUAAUGGGUUACCUGCCCAGAUGGUCACAUUGUAAUGGGUUACCUGCCCAGUUGGUAUAUUGUAAUGGGUUACCUGCCCAGAUGGUCACAUUGUAAUGGGUUACCUGCCCAGUUGGUCACAUUGUAAUGGGUUACCUGCCCAGUGGAAAAUAUAUGAGGAUUUUUUUUUUUUAAUAAGACAUGAUAGGGCUCGAAGGCACAUUAUUUAAUAGAUGGAAGCUCGAAGGAAAUGAGGGCUUGAAGGCGCACUCAAAAGAAGGUAUGAUAGGAAAUGCACUACCUUUGAUGGUCGAGGGCUCGAAGGCGUGCUCGAAUAGAGGUAGGAUAGGAAAAGCACUACCUUUGAUGGUCGAGGGCUCGAAGGCGUGCUCGAAAAGAAAUAAGACGAGGGCUCGAAGGCGCGCUCGAAUUGAGGUAGGAUAGGAAAUGCACUACCUUUGAUGGUCAAGGGCUCAAAGGCGCGCUCGAAAAGAAAUAAGACGAGGGCUCGAAGGCGUGCUCGAAUGGAGAUAAGACGAGGGCUCGAAGGCGCGCUUGAAUGGAGGUAGGAUAGGAAAUGCACUACCUUUGAUGGUCUAGGGCUCGAAGGCGCGCUCGAAAAGAACUCAAAAGGAGGUAGGAUAGGAAAUGCACUACCCCAGGAGUGGAAACUGAAAGGUGGUGGAAAAAUAGAGAGAUUUUUCAGGUGGCCUAAUUCUCAUGGGCGACCUGCCCAGGUUGAAAAAUUCUCAAAAGUGAAAAUUUUUCAAAAGCAAUUUCAAUGUUCGCCAUUUCAAGUUGGCCUUCCGCUUGAUGGAUUCCGUUAGAAUUUUCUCUAAUAAAAUUUGCAAAACUCAUUGUCCAAUGUCUCAAAGUUUAAAUGAUAUGCAUGCAUCUUUACCUGAUUUGAAAUAUAGGCCCCCAAUUUCUUCUUAGUCUUCUCGUUGCUUGGUUGGUGAGAUCUUGCUAUCUGAUUUGAGUCAUCUUUGUCGCUUGGCUUUCUAGCCCACUCGAGUUAGCCCAUAUAAGACUUUUUCCAGAUUUGUUUGCACAACUCAGCCUUUGUGGUACCCAUCAUGACCCACAUGCUUGCUAAAGAUUUUCGGACUCGUCAAAUAAUUUGAGAGGAUCAUUCAUUACCCCUCGUCUCACUGCUAAAAACAUUCGGUGUCACUAGCUGAAAGGAUCAAACUGUCUUUUAUAAACCAAAAUGCCAACUUGUCUUGUUGUAAGGGAUGAUAGAUUUUCCUUAAACACAAUGUUGCUUGUACUGGUCAUUGCCCCCAAAUGUGCUAUGUCACUGACUUAGAUGAAUAAUGGUUUUAAGAGGCCAUUCUCUCAUUUGGUGAAGGAAUAUGGGUCUAGAAUGAAUCUUGAAAUCUUGAUCUUGUCUUUUGACAACAAAAAUUGUUUUGAUAUGAAUUUAAAACAAUUUGCUUUUAAAAUCUUGCAACUCCUUGGUUAUUAUCUUUCUUGGAAAAGAGAUUAUUUGCUCUUGUGUUUGGCAAUGAGGUCUUCGAUGAAAAUACAUCAUGAGAUGACCUUUUGUUUCAGAGUGAAGGGCUUUGAGCAAAGCUCGAGGUUUUGUACGAGAAAAACUUGUCCUUUUUUGAUAUUUAUUUGAAUAUUAUUUUAUCAGCAUGAAUAAUAAUGAGUAGUUAAUCCUUGAUGUCAUGAAUCUAUGAAAAAAGUAUUCUUGCAUUUUGAGAGCAUUGUUUAUUUUCUAGAUUGCUUGCUUGCUUGAUUAGAAAGGACUUCUACAGGCACGUAAUGUAGGCUGUGGUUUUUGGCUAUAAAAAGAAAAGGAUAUAAGGCUCAAAGAGUGUUUCAGGGUUUCAAAGACUGAAGAUCACGAUCAAUAGUUUGACUUUUGACGUCAUUCAUAUUUUCUUUUGCCGCUCUUCUUUGAUUUGCCCCUCUCUUUUUUUUCUUUUUCAUUGCCUUGCUAGAGCAUACUCACUUUAUCAUGGUUAUCACUUUUUCUUGUGAUUUGGGCAUGCCCCCUAGCAUUUGAGUUUUUUGGGCUCUUUUGCCUUUUGGCUUUCUCACGGCUUUAUUAUCUUUCUUGAUCAUUGAAAUUUCACUUGCCCCCAGUGUGGGGUGUGAUCCUAGUCGGGAUUUUUUUCAUGAAAGGAAAAUUAUUCAGGCUCAAAAAGGGAUCGCAAGGGAUGUACUUAUUUCAGAAUGUGAAAGGAAUAACAAAGAUGACCUUUCCUCAUUUCAAGCGCAAGCAGUUAAGAUCAAUAAACUUUGACCUCAUCUAGUGUGAUGGUUUGGUCUUUGCAAAGAUGCAUUUCAAGGGUCAUGAGCAACAAGUUCACUACAUACCAUUAUUCAUACAUUUAAAAACACAUGAUUCAAGAGUCGUGGGGUAAAGGUGUUUAUUUAUUUCUUUUUUUUUUAGUUUGGUCAUCUCUAUGAAGGAGUUGCUUGAUUCACUUGUCAUUCUACAGGUAGAAUGUCAAAAAUAUUAUUUUUGAAUAAACAUCAAAUUAUUUUUUGAAAUCAAAAUGCCAGAUCAAUUUUUCAAAACUCCAACAGGGAAACUGAUUUUGGUAAAAGAGAUGAAUUGCAUCUAUGAGAUUGUGCAAGGCUUCAAAGAUGUGUUUGUGAGUCUUUAUAAGAAAGCUCUCUCAGAAAAAUGAAUAAAGCUUAAUCGUAAACACGAUUGAAUGACAAACUCAUUAUUUUCAUUGAAACUUUGGAAAAUUCAACAACAAAGAACUUAUGACAACAUCUUGGGCUAUGAAUGAUAACAUAUAUAAGGGCUAAACAUUUAGCGAUCAUUGAUUGGAAUUUCUAGAAUCUUUCAAUCAUUCAUUCUCCUCGAUAAGGGCAUCUUUUCAACAGUUAGUUGAAGUCAUAUGUAAAAACGGUAAGUGCCUUGGCAACCCCCUUCAGUGUCCUUUCCCUUUUCAGUGAAACCUUUUUUUUCAGUCGGAUCAGCAAUUUUACCUAACCCAAUGGUUUGUUCAAUCCUCUCAGCUAUAACAACCAGGUCAGUAAAAUGUUGUGCAGAGCUUCUAACCAAGUAUUCAAAGUAUGGAGCUUUAAAGGUGUUGGAAAAUAAACUGAUCAUUUCUUUUUCCAACAUGGGAGGGUUAACUUGUGUAGCUAGCUCACUCUAUCUUCGGGUGUAUUCCCUUAUGGACUCCUUUUUGUCCUUCUCCAUAGCUUGUAAGCUUAAAUGAUCAGGGCCCACGUCUAUAUUGAACUUAUAUUGCCUCAUGAAGGCAUCAACUAAAUCCUUCCAUUUUUUAACCUUGGUAUUGUCCAACCGCAUAUACCAAGUGAGGGCACCAUCACUCAAGCUGUCUUGAAAGAAAUGAAUCAGCAGUUUCUUAUCAUCAACCACUUUAGCCAUUUUGUUGCAGUAUACUUUGAGAUAAGUUAUAGGGCAUUGAGUUCCCGUAUAUUUAACAAAUUCUGGCACUCUAAAAUUUUGGGAAUGACAACGUUGGGCACCAAACACAUUUCAACAACCUUUAUAGGAUCAUAUAGGCGAAUUCCCUUAAAUGCCCUCAUCCUUUGCUCUAGGGCAAUGAAUUUGUUCAGAUCAUCUUCUUUUACCAUCUUGCCUUUUUAAGAUUCCUUCUCAUUUGCCCCCAGAUUCUGUGGAGUGAAGGGAUUUACGAGCAUAGGUUCAGGCUGAGCUAUAUGUGUUGCUUUUCCGGAUUUCUCUCUCAAAGCUUGUUCGAGUAGACUAGUAAGCCUUGCGACUUCUUUUUUAAGAUUGUCCACCUCUUUUUGGUGUUGGGCUUCCAACUGGGCUCUUUCUUCGUUUUCCAUUUAUUUUUUUCUCAAAUGAUUGUUAUGGAUACGUUUCGGUUGGGGACCUAUAUUUCACCUGUUAUAUGCAGGAUAUGACAAUCUAUAAGCAAAUGUAUGAGAUGCAUGAAUGUGAAUGCAACAUAUUGGAUAUAGAUUCGCUCUUUGUUGGUGACAUAUGGCCGUCAUUCUUUGGAUAUGUGGGUUGAGCUUGAACUUGAUAUCAUUGUUGUGAUGCCGAGAAGAGAUCUGCUUAGCUUUUUGACAUUUGGGCUUUCCGCCAUAUACAUAUUUUUUUGCAUUGAAAAAUGUGGGUCUCAACCCUUUUAUUACUUAUUCAGAAGCUUACAAUGAAAAAUUAAUCUAAUCUAUUACAGGAGAAAAAACACUGCCUCUAGUAGCUAUUGCUUUUAAAAAAAGAUCGGUGUUAUCCAUGCUUCUUCGAUAUUUCAUUAUAUCUCCUCCCACUUGACGAGCUUCCACUCGUAAUAAAUGGGCUUCUGCAGCUGCUCGAUCAAUCUGAUCUUGUAGUUCCCUUAUCCUCUCAGUAUGAAUCAAGUUGUUUCUAGACAAAAAGUUAUUGGCAUCAUCCAAUGUUUGAUUAUGUUGCUUCAUCAUUUUUUGGUUUCCUGUAAGUUGUACGGUCUUCAAUUUUUCUUUGUCCAGCUUAGAUCUCAAUGCUUCUGCUUCAGCCUUAUGAUUGUUCAACUCUGCUUUUUGUUCUUCAUGAAUUUUAGUUAAAGCCUCAGCUCUUCCCAAUUGGUCUUUAAACUUAACAAUGUCCGCCCGACGCAUUUUCAAUAUAGCUUGUGUCUUGAUGGCUAACUCUUCCCAAUGCUUAGCUUUUGCCAUAUAAUAUGUCAUGUCCUGAUUAAUUUUUCUUUUUUGUUUCCAAGUCAGCCUUUGCCUUUAUCAAGUCUUGACCCACAGAGUCCCUUUCUUCUUCAGCUAUUUUCCUUACACCCUUUUCUUUGGCUAGCUGCCGCUCUAAUGACACUCUUUGUUCUUCCUUUGCUUUAAGCUCAGCUUGUAACGAUUUUACUUGUUUUCUUAAUUCUUCUUCACAGUUCACUCUUUUCCUACGAAUGCCCACAGAUUCAGAAACUUCUGCCAUAUAAGAGACUCCUCCAUUACGCCAUUCGGGAUACUUUUCACUAACUGUAGGAUUCCUCAAUCCGGUCUCCUUUUUCACCAGUACCAAAGAUUUCCAAUCCUGUUUAAUGCUCUCCAGCAUCUCCAUGGUAGCUCCUUUGUAUACUCCAGUAAAUUGAGCUAGACCAACCGUUCUUGGGAUGCUUUGUAUGCCCCCAAAUUGUCUUGCAACUAAAGCAGACGCAUAACUAAUAUAUCCAGUCACUCCAAUCAAAGGUACCCAAGGCUUCUUCCCACAACCCAUUAAGUACAUUACAUUUCUCAUCCAAGGAGCUCUCCAAUUAAAAUUGCUUCGUGGGAUUCCUGGUAAUUUUACCCUCCAGUCAUCUUCAGAAAAAAAUUUCCAUUCAUUUGAUACAAAUAACUCGAGUGGCCUUUGAUCAAACCACCAAAAAUUUCGGAAUAUUGGUGUCUUGGAUUCUAUGUGACUUACCAUCCAAAUGAACAAUAAUGGAACACAACAUCUCAUAGAACCUUUUCCGGACUUUUUGCAAUGAUUGAGGGACAAAAAAGUUUCAGCCAAGAUCGCAGCAGAAGGAUUAAUUUUGGUCUUCUCAUACUCAACAAACAAAUUGGCCGCCUCUACACUGAUAAUUCCAGCAGUUGAAGGACACAAAAUCAACCCAAAUAUUCCCAAAGCCAAUAUUCUGUAUACCUCUAAUUUAGCACAUGGAUUAGACUUUUUAGCAAUCAACAACUCCUCUAGUCGUUUCCAUCUCAAACCCCCAGAAUCAUUUUUCUCUCUAUAUAAGCUCAUUUGCUGGAUUCCCAAUAGCUUAGCAAGUUCCUCUACAGUAUCCUCAAUCCUUUGAUGAAAGUACACCUUAUGUAUAUCCUCAGGAAAUUCUAUCAAAACACCGUAUUCUUCAAGGGUAGGAACCAUAUCGACAUCCCCAAAUGUAAAACAUCGAUAAUCCGGAUCCCAGAAAUGAAUUAGGGCUUUUAUGGCUAAUGGCAGUACUGGAACAUUUAGAAGAUGCAAAAUUCUCCCAUAUAUCUUAGUAAAUUCUGUCUCAUCAGCCAAGUAUUUGGUGAGUGGAAGCAAACGAAUGGCAUCAUUUAUUACACAUCUCACAUCUUUUAGCAGCGGUAUCCCACUGUCAUCCAGUCUAGGGCAGUCUCCCUCAGUCAUAUGCAAUGAUUCAGAUUCAAGCCCAUACUCAACAGUGGUGACUUCUCGAUUAACUGCCAUUAUGUCACCCAAAAAAUAAUCCUGUAAUGAAAAUGAUGUAUGUUAAGCUUGCCUUAGUGAAACUUACAUAGGGAACAACCUAAAGGGUAAGUUCUAGUCAUUAAAUGCUCAGGGUAGGUUGCUAACUAGUCUUUAAAAGGUCUCUCGCAUGCUCAGUGAUCUUCCUCGAAAGGUUGAUGUGAGGCUUACAAGUAGCGUGAAGAUAGAGGCCCUGAAUGAUAUCAGUUUAGGCAUACCAACCACUAUCGAGUAAACAAUCAAGCAAAAGUUGGAUGGUUUCACGAGUCUUACCCAGGCUAAAGCCAUUGGGGUACCGCUACUCUCCCACUUAACAUAAAGUCGAUAUAGCAGAUGUUUAUUAUGAAAUGCGUGGUGUGUGAAGGCAUAAAUCCAUAUCCAAUAUAUGUAUGAUGACAUGAAUAAAUAUGGAUACUAAAGCUGUAACAAUAAAUAAAAAAAAAUAAAAAUAAAAUAAAAAAAACCAAACAACACAACAAGCAUUUGUAGCAAUUUUAACAAAUAAAGACAAAGCUUAGUCUUAGUCCCCAGUGGAGUCGCCAUUCUGUCGCACCCGACAUCGCGGCGGCCUUAAAAAUUUAUUAAAUCUUUGGAAAGAACGGAUUUCUGGCAUCUUGUUCUUUAAUGAGGAUAUUCUUUGUUUAAGGAGUCGCCACCUAGUAUUAUGGUCACUAGGAACCCUAACUGGUCAACAGAGAUUCUAUGGUACGAGACUGGUUACGCAAAAGGGAAGACAUUAUCAUCCCUUAAGCGUCCUGCCUAAGGCAGGCUGCAUUGCUGACUUUGUCAUAAAUUGCUAAUGUUUUGUUGGUUUAUGCUACGGUGGUUUUGCGUGUAAUAUUCCUGACUAUGGCGUCAGUGAAUAUUUAACUACAGAUAUUUCCAACUCUGGCGUUGGUAAAUAUCACGUAGCUAUAAAAACAAAAUAAAUUUAAAUCAGUUAUUUUUUUAUUCCUGACUCUGGCGUCAGUGAAUAAACAAAUCAAAUAAAUUUAUUUUUACGCAUCACAUAAAAAAUAAAAUAAAUUUAAAUCAGUAUAUUUUUUUUUAUUCCCGACUCUGGCGUCAGUGAAUAAAUAAAUAAAAAUAAAUUUAUUUUUACGCAUGCACAUAUUUUUUUAUUUUUUUCUAGCUAAAUAAAAUACAACGAAUAAAAAUAAUAUAAAUUUAAACCGGUAUUUUUAUUCCUGACUCUGGCGUCAGUGAAUAAACCAAUAAAUUUACAUUAUUUUUAUUCAUGCAUACACAUUUUUUUAUUUUUUUAUUUUUCUGCUUUUUAUUUUUUUAUUUUUGGGCUGGGUUAGGCUAAAUCCAGCCCAGCAUAUAUAUUGGUGGCUGGGCUGAGCUCAGCCCCACAGGGGCUGGGCUAGGCCCAGCCAGCCCGGCCCGGUCACUGGCCCAAGCCAGUGACCGGCUGGGCAAACGGCUGAUGCACGCGUGAAGCACUUUCACGCGUGCAUCAACAGUGCGAAGGUAAUUAAAUUACCUUCGCACUGUUCAAAUGCAAUUUGAACACAGAAGAGCAAAAACAAAUGGAAACGGGCGCACCUGUUUCUGGAGAUUGCGAAGAAGGCUGCAAUGUUGGUGGGGUUCGACUGCUUUCCGUUUCUGGCGAUGGUGAAGAAGGCUGCAAUACUGGUGUGGGUUCGAAUGCUUUCUGUUUCUGGUGAUGGUGAGGAAGGCUGUUGGUGACUUUCGCCUUUUCCUUCUGUUUUCCCGGAAACGAGAACGAAGAUGCUGGUUUCUGUGGGUAUUGAUUUUUGGGUCGUUUUCUGCAGGGAUGAAGGCAACAGCAGAGCUGAUUCCUCUCUCUGUGUAAAUUUUGUAUGCUCUGUUUUACUCUGUUUUUUUUUACUCGGUCUUUGCUCUGUUUUUUUUUUUUGGGUCUCCUCUUCCCCCUGGUUCUGUCAAUUGUUGGGUAUUUAUAGGGACCAAUCUUCCUCUCCCUCAGCCUCACGUCUCUCCUCCUGAUAAGCACGGCUAAAGGAGACGGUUUCUAUUAGGACUCAGACGCGAAGUGUAAUCCUUAUCUCGUCGGGUUGUGAUUAUCAUGAAGAUAAAUACUGCUUUUCUGUGUUUUGAAAGGACUAGGAUGCUGGUGUUUCACCCUUUCAUUUCCUUCUUUCCAGGCGGGCGUUUGGUGCUUUGGAGAUGAAGAUGACGGACAGCACGGUGUUGUUUGGGGCUGAGAAUGGUUAUUUCCAAUCUGGUCCUUGAAGUUUCUAAAUCCUUGCAUUCAACCCCUGGUCUUUUAAUUUUCAAGAUUUACCCUCCUUAAAAUUAAUUUAAAAAUAAGUGGGUCAAAAUUAGGUUACAACAAAGCUUCUCUUUGAUAAAAUGUCUAUCAAUCUCUAUAUGUUGUCAUGUUGUCCUAUUAUGUUGAACAAGAUUAUGGGCAAUCUCUAUAGCUGAUGUAUUAUCACAAAUCUUCGAAAGAAUCCCAAAUCUUCUAUCAAGUUCUUAACCAUAAUAAUUCACAUACUCCAAUUGACAUGCAAUUAGAGUGAAAGUUUCUUGAUAAUCAACCCCAUAAGAUUGUGUGUACCCUUUGAUGACAAGUCUCGCCUUGUAUCUUUCAAUAGUUUCAUCUGUAUUGUGUUUGACAGUAAAGACCUAUAGACAUCCAACAGUUUUUUUUCCUGUUGGAACAGUAACAAGCUAUCAUGUAACACUUCUUUUUAGAGCCUCCAUUUCCUCCGCCAUAGCUAUAGUUCAAUGAGAAUUUUCCAAAGCUUUUUGUAAUGUACUAGGAAUAGAGACAGAGGAUGAUUUACACAUAUAAGAUGCAUAUGAUGCAGACAACUUGUGAGAUGAGAUAUGGUUACUUAUUAGGUAUUUUACAUUGGCUUUUGUAUCGGAUUCAUAUUUAGCCGGGGGAACCCCAUAGGUAGAACGUGGUGGAAGUACAUGAUGAACAAGGUUAGAUGGCAAACUAUUUUCAGGAGAAUUUUUGAGUUGUACCUGCAGUGUUGGUGAUGACUCUAGAGAGGAGUUGACCGGUGCAAUAAUAAGUAUUGUACUAUCUAGAAGUUGUUGAGAGUUGUCACAAUGAUCAUUAGAGUUUUGUGAACAAAGAUUAGCAGUAGUAGGUGUGUCCAUAAAUGUGUCUAUUGAAGAGGUGUUUUCAUCCGAUGAUCCAUUAUUAGGUAGAAUCAUUGAUUUUAUAUCAAAACACAAGACAUCAUUAUGAAUUGUAAGGUGUCGAACAUCUUCGGGAAAAGUAGGCUUUAAAUUUAUAACAGAGUAAUAAAACUUGGAUUCAUCAAAGAUAACAUCCAUAGCAUUUAUACCCUUUUUUACUAGACUCAUAACCAAUAAAGACACAUUUCAAUGCUCUUGACUUUAGUUUAUGCCUAAAAAUUGAAAGACACCCUAAUUUAUAAAAUGAAGUUUUAAACGCACAAGGCCUUCCAACAAUGAAUUAAGGAAUUGGGCAGGAAUUAUCCAACAUGGAGAAACCCACUCUAUGAACUUGCCAUCAGUGAUUGGCUUUGAGCCAAAUCUAAAUGAUCUCGAGUUCAAAAUAAAUUUAGUUCGGUCAACAAGCCCAAAUUGCACCCCAUUUUUUAAAAGGUGUGGAUGACCUUUGGUGUGCUUUUUAUUUUUAAAAAAGAGAAACAAAUGGGUCACAUUGGCUAUAAUGGUAGAUGAUGAGGUGCCUACUUAAGCACUAAGAGGUUUUUUUUUUAUUGAAAGUUUAAUCUUCAACCUAUUUUUAUAUAUAAAAAAUCUAAUAAAUACCAUAAAAACCUUUCUAAAUCAUUUAAUUAUUCUCAAACACACUAAAAUAACACAAAAAAAAAUGAAAAUCAACCAAAUAGAAAAUCUCUAAGCUAAGCCCAAUUGAUUUUUAUAAACAAGGUAAAGGUUUAAAACCAGUACAAUCAAAUCUUUAUUAUCAAAUAGAUUCCAUUGACACUAUAAACAAUGAGUUUUUUUGUUGAAAAAUAAUUCACCUGGUAACAUUUUCUUUUCUAGUUGUUUUUCAUUGAAUUUCUCUCUCAUCUUUCUAACAUAAAGAAUGAAUAAUGAACAAUAUGAAUUUUAUGAUCAAAAUAAAAAUUAUAGUGAAUUUAAAAGUGACCAUGUAUUUUCAUUUUAGUUUCCUAUUUCUUAAUUUUUUAUUUUCAUGAUAAUUUAAAAUAUAAUUUCAUCUAAUUAUAUUAUAAAAGGAUUCAUUGAUAGAAAAAAAAACAUUGAAAAUUAAAAAAGAAAAGGCAAGAGCUUCAUUCUUUAAAUAAACAAUGAAACCGACCUUGGUUUAAUUGUUGUUAUAUUUAUAUCCAAAGACGCUUUGAAAAUUAAUUAAAUAAAAGACUUUUAGCUUCUUCUUUUUUUGUAAUAAAAAAUAGAAGCGGAGUUUGGUAUUCCCUCCAAAGGUAACCCUUUGGUGUUUAUUGCAUAAGGUUCAUGCGAGAAGUGCCAUUUGAAUAUCUCGUUUGAAAAUGCCGUUCAAAUAAAGAUUUAUAAAAAAUAUAUAUAUUAUUUUUUGUAUAAUUUUUUAUUUUUUUAAUAUGUUAAUAUCACAAAUAUAUUUAAACACACACACACACACACACACACUUAUAUAUAUAUAUAUACACACACACACACAUACAUUUGAAUGAAAAAUAUUUUAAAAAAUAACUAUUAUUAUAUUCUAAAAAAAACAAAAUAAAGAUGGUAUCACCAUAUAUUAUUAAAAAAUAAUUUUGUUAGCAUCAUAUGCGCCUCACGCUUAAAAAGCCUAAAAUUAACCAUGCACUAAUAUUGAUACAAACAUUUUUUUAUACUAUUAAUAAUUAUCUUAUAACCCAAGUUGAGAAUAAUUGGGAGGCUUAACCUAAUGGUUAGCCAACCCUUUUUAUAUAUAUAUGUAGGGCAAUAUACAAUAGUAAUGGUAGAGGUUACCACAUAAGAGUAUGUCUACAAUAUUUUCUAUAUACAAUAUUUCAUAUAUAAGUACAUUCUAUAAUAUGCCCCCUCAAGCUGAGGGUGGAGGAUCAACCCGAAGCUUGAAACGAAAAACAGUAAACGAAGAAGUAGGAAGUGGCUUAGUGAAGACAUCGACAAGUUGAUCCUGGGAGGAAAUAAAACGAAUCUGAAUCUCCUUCUUUGCAACUCUAUCUCGGACAAAAUGAUAAUCGACCUCAACAUGUUUUGUGCGAACAUGAAAAACAGGAUUCACAGACAAAUAAGUGGCACCAAGGUUGUCACACCAGAUAAUAGGAGUAGAAGCAGACAGAAUCUGGAGAUUUGUUAAUAAAUACUGAAGCCAGAUAACCUCAGCAGUGCCAUCAGCUAAGGUUUUGUACUCAGCUUCAGUAGAAGAGCGAGCAACUGUGCAUUGCUUACCAGAUUUCCACGAAAUCGGCGUCUGACCAAAAAACACAAGGUAACCACCCGUAGAUUUUCUGUCCUCAACACUGCCUGCCCAAUCUGCAUCUGUAAAACCAUGUAAGGCAAAAGAAGAACUGUGAGUAAUAUGUAAGCCAUGUGAUGUCGUACCCCGAAGAUAACGCAAGAUGCAUUUCACGGCAGCCCAAUGAGAAUCUGUAGGUGCAUGCAUAAACUGACAGACUCUAUUAACAGCAAAGCAAAUAUCUGGGCGCGUAAAAGUGAGAUACUGAAAAGCACCCACAAUUUGACGAAAGCGGGUAGUAUCAGAAAACAAUGGAUCGGGCAGAAUGAUAGCUUUGGAUGUAAAGAUAGGGGUAUCAACAGGUUUGCAAGAUAACAUACCAGCCCGAGUGAGGAUGUCAAGUAUAUAUUUAUGCUGGCGGAGCAUAAGACCCAUACUAGUAGACUGAACCUCAAUACCCAAAAAAUAAUGAACAGAACCCAAGUCGCGAAGCUUAAAUUCUGAGCUUAGUAGCUAAAUGAGGCGUGGGAGCAUAAGAGAGUUACUACCCGUAAAUAGAAUAUCAUCAACGUAGACCAGAAGAUAACAAAUAUCAGCACCAACAGAGAAGAUAAACAAUGAGGUAUCCACCUUAGAGGCACGGAAACCAAUAGAUAACAAGAAAUCAUUCAAACGAGUGUACCAAGCCUGGGGAGCCUGUUUUAAACCAUAUAGAGAUUUAUGCAAUCGGCACACAUGAGAGGGGAGAGCAUAAUCAACAAAACCUGGAGGUUGUUUCAUGUAGACCUCCUCGUCAAGAACACCAUUGAGGAAGGUAUUAUGGAUGUCAAGCUGAUGAAUUUUCCAACCACACGAAACUGCAAUGGAGAAGACUAAUCUGACGGUCGCCUGUUUGAUGACUGGACUAAAGGUUUCAGAGUAAUCAAUACCUUCUUGCUGAGUGAAACCUCUAGCAACCAGACGCGCCUUAUACCGCUCGAUGCUUCCAUCAGAUCUGCGUUUAAUCUUGUAUACCCACCGACUACCAACAACAUUCAUGAAGGGGUGAAACGACACUAAGGUCCAAGUUCUGUUUGCGCAUAAGGCCUGAAUUUCCUCACGCAUAGCACUAUGCCACGCCACAUAUCUGUUAGCAUCAUUAAAAACAAGUGGCUCAUGAGAGGGAGGAGAAACUACCCAACUGAAGGAGACAGCAGAGGCUGCGGCAGUCGCUGUGGACAGCGCUGUCUUGGGCUGCCUUGGACGAAGAACCAUGUGAUGUUGAUGAGCAGCUGGGCAUGGAGAAGUGUGACCUGUACUUGGAAGAUGCUGAAGAGGAUAUGAUGAGAGGUCUACACAGAGCUGCAGACCAGCUGGAGAAGCAGUGGAGGGAUUGGUCUGCACUGCAGACACUGGUGAGGCUACUGGAGAACCGGGUUGCUCUGUUGCAGCAGACUUGAGAACAUGCACAUACGGUGAUGGAGAACUUGUACCUGCACAAUGAUCAUUGGAAAGACAAGCAUAUGGUGACAGUAUGGCAGUGUGGGAUGGUGAUGAAGGGGUGGCAGAAUCUAUGGGCAAAGGGGUAGUCUGGUGGGGUGCGGCAGAUGGCAGAAUUGGGUUGUGGUUUGGGCCAGUUUGGUAAGUAGUAGGUUGAAAGGAUGGAGGAGGGUUCAAGGAUGGAAGAUAGGUAGGUGGGGUGGGAGGUACCGGUGAGGAUGUUACCUGUUCAGACUUCGCAAAAGGAAAGACAAUUUCAUGAAAACGAACAUGACGGGAGACAUAAAUACGAUCAGACUCUAAGUCAAGACAACGAUAACCAAGAUGGGAUGAGCUAUAACCUAAAAACACACAAGGAGAAGACCGGAAAUCUAAUUUAUGAGCAUGAUAUGGACGCAAAAAAGGAAAACAAAGACACCCAAAAGUACGUAGGAAGUUAUAAUCAGGAGUGCAUCGAAACAGACACUCAAACGGAGAUGUAUUUUGGAGAACAAGAGUAGGCAUGCGGUUAAUAAGGUAGACCGAUGAUUCAAAAGCAUAGUUCCAAAAUCGCAAUGGGGCACUACACUGGCCUAAAAGGGUUUGGCUAGUUUCGACAAUAUGUCGAUGACAACAUUCAACAGUGCCAUUUUGUUCAUGAGUAUGAGGACAAAUUAAUCGAUGAUGAAUACCAAUGGUCUGAAAAAAUUUAUUUAAUUUACGAUAUUCACCGCCCCAAUCAGUUUGAACAGAUUUAAUUUUAAGAGAAAACUGACGCUCAACAAGUGUUUGAAAACGUUGAAAAGUGGAAAAAACAUUAGAUUUCGCAACAAGCGAAUAAUACCAUAUAUGUUUGGUAUGCGCAUCGACAAAAAUAACAAAAUAGCGGAAGCCAUCAGAAGAAAACAUAGGGGCAGGACCCUAAACAUCACUAAAAAUUAAUUCAAGUGGGGCAGAAGUUUUGUGACCCGUAGGUCGUAAUGACAAACGGGAUGACUUUCCUAAAGGACAAGCUUGACACUGAGUAAGAGAACAUCUAGAAGUACACACGAUUUUAUUGCCGAAAACUAACAAAUUGAAAAUGCAAGGGGUUGGAUGACCCAAACGACGAUGCCACAGGUCGGCAGUCGCGGAGAUGCAAGGAGACCAAAAAGCUUGAGAAACUGACGUGGCAGAAGACUCGGAGACGACAUAAAGGCCAUCAUGACUCUGACCGGAAAGGAGAACUUCCUUGGUGACGAAAUCCUUCACAUAAAACAUAGAAGCGUGAAAUUCAAAAUAAACAUGAUUAUCACGAUAGAAUUUUUGAACAGAUAACAACGGUUUGGUAAUGUGAGGCACAUGGAGAACAUUAGAUAAUGUAAACAUGCGUUUUGGGGAAUGUAAUUUAGUAUGUCCAAUAUGGGAUAUGUCAAGGCCCUUACCGUCACCAACAUGCAAAUAAUCAUUACCAAGAUAGGGUGCAGAAUCGGUUAGAGUUCCAAGAUCAGGUGUGACGUGUUGAUUUGCGCUGGUGUCAGGGAACCAAGUCGCAGCAGAGAUAUUCCUAACAGCAAGAUGAGUAGAAGGAUGCGGAGAGCUGCUACGAAACUGGGAACAAUGAGGAGCUGUGUGCCCAAAACCGGAGCACAAUUGGCAGCGUACAUGUUGCUGUCCAGACCACUGCCCAGCACUGGAAUUGCGCCUAGUUUGCUGCCAGUGGUUUGGCCGCCAAUCUACAGCAGAUUGGCCCUUGUUUUGGGGAGUGGAACGGUUGCUGUGGGGACGCCAAUUACCUCUAGAGCGACCCCUGUUGCGGCUGAAGUUGGGGCUGUGAUGAGACAUAGCAUGGUGUGCAGAAAACUGUGGUGUUGGCAGCAGAGGUGGCUGCUGCGGCAGAGAAGAAGAAGACAGCAGAGAGGGAGCGGCAGCCAUGGAAUGGAAAGAGUUCUUGUGCAGAAAUUCAUGGGUAAGAAGGUGGCUGUGAAGAUCAGCAUAGGAUAGCGAUUCUGCCUUGGUUAUGAGACUCGUUACCAAGUCUUUGAACUCGCCACGAAGGCCACGAAACACAUAAAGAUUGAAAUCUUCAAGAGACAUGGGGCGACUAGCAACAGCCAAUUCGUCAAAUAAUGAUUUGGCUUGCUGCAUGUAUAGACUAACCGAUGAGUCACCUUGUCGAAGGUCUUGAAAGGAGCCAUGGAGUUGCAUGAUGCGAGAAUUAGACGGAGAGGCAAGCGCUUUCUCAAGAGUGCACCAAACACAAUGCGAAGUAGAACAAUCUACCACGAGAUGCAAUACAUCCACGGAGAGAGGGGAGAGCAAAGCACUCAAAAUAAGUUGAUCAUGUUGCUUCCAACGAAGAAAAGAAGGGCUGAUGAUGGAGGAAGAACCAGCAGAGCUGUCAAAAAUAUGAGAUGGAGGACACGGCACUGAGCCGUCAACAAAGUGAAAAACACCUUGACCAAGGAGAUAUGGCUUCAUCUGCAUUCUCCAAUAGAGAUAAUUUGUGUUCGUAAGUUUUAGCAAAACAACUUGGUGAGUGUUCGCUAAAGGAACAAUAGUUGUAGCGUGGGUUCCCAUGAGAGGUAAAGGAACGGCAGGGACUUGAGAGGAAGAAUCAGAGACAAGCUCUGCAAGUGGAGGCUGCUGUGGGGAAGAAAGGGCACCAGCGGCAGCAGUUUGGGGAUGGCUGGCCGACUGUGCUGCACCACCUGUGGAGAGGGAGAAGUCGGCGGCAGUAGUAGAAUCCAUGUAGAGAAAGUAAAGAGAGGGCCGGUUGCAAAGGGAGGAAGGGAGAAAAGAGUUAUGGCGGCAGAAAGCUCUGAUACCAAGUUGAGAAUAAUUGGGAGGCUUAACCUAAUGGUUAGCCAACCCUUUAUAUAUAUACAUAUGUAGGGCAAUAUACAAUAGUAAUGGUAGAGGUUACCAUACAAGAGUAUGUCUACAAUAUUUCCUAUAUACAAUAUUUCCUAUAUAAGUACAUUCUAUAAUAACCCAUAACUAUAUAUAAAAAGCAUAAAUAUUAUAUAAAAAUAGUUGAUUUAAAUAAAUUUUAUUAACUUUGUAACUAAAAUAGGAAUUUUAAUAUGGAUUUUUUAUUUGUUUUUCAUAUAAAGCUAAUAAUUAAUAAUUUAAUUAACUUUUCCCUUUUUCAUAAAAUCUAAUUAUUAGUAAUUGUACUCAUUCCAUAUCUAAUUAAGAAAAAAACUAAAACAACAAUAUAUAAUUCUUAACACUAGUUAAUUUCGUUUUCUAUAUGCCAACUCAUGCAUUAUACAAAUCUUAAAUAAUAUAUAUAAAAAAACUAGUCAAUGUAAACUUUAUAUUGAUUAUCAAAACUGUGAAAUUACUUUAAAACUAGUCAUGGAAGGCCAAUAUUAUAUAUUAUUAUAUCGAUGAUAUUGCCAACUAAUUUUUCAAGCAGUUGAUUAUAAGUUCCUUUAAUAUAGUAUGAAAUAAUAAUGAUGUAUUUGAAUUUUAUUUAGCAUAAUGAAAUUACUAUUUUUUUUCUAAAAAAAUAAAAGAACUUAUCAGUCAAUAAAAACAGCUUAUAGAAAUUUCAAAGAAAUGGAGACAAAUUAGCGCACUUUGUCUAAAAUUUCAAAAUACUUUUAUUUCAAAGAAAUUUCAAAGAAAAGAACUUAUCAGUCAACAAAUCCAGAAUGGCUUUCUGUCCCAGUCGCACUUUGUCUAAAACUUCAAAAUAAUUAAGUUAUUAUUUAGUUGCACAUUUGCUUUAGCUCUUUGUCUGCCAUUCAGAUGUUCUAUAAGAACUUUCCACCAAGUCAACAUUUGUUUUCUCUAAAUGUGGCAUGACCUUUUUCAUUGACUUCAGUCUCCAGUCUUGUCCACGUUACCUUUACCAGAUCUGAUAUUCUAUAUAUAUAAUAUUUUUUCUUAUAAAAGCAUGACUUAAAUAAUAUUGUUUUGAUUUUUAAAUAUGUUUGUAAUAAAACUUUUGUUUCCUGAAAUAUCAAAUAUGAACUUAGCAAUAUGUCCAAAAUAUUAAAAGGACUUCAAAGAAUAUUACACCGCUUGUAUAUAUUGUCAAUUAUAAAGUUAUAAUUUCUGUAAGAAAAUAAUAAUGUAUUUGUAAUUUAUUUAAACAAUAUAAUGAAACUACUAUUUGAUUUUCCAAGUUAUUAGUCUAAACAAUAAUAGUACACCGCUUGUAUUGUCAAAAAAAAGAAGAAGUUAUUAGUCUAAAAAAAUCUUUUGUUUGUUAAAAGUGAACUAAUAGGUAAUUUUAAAUAAUGAGAAAAGAAAAGAAGAUAAAUAAGGAUAUGUUUUUAUUAAAAGAAAAAUUGCUGUUUUUUUAUCCAUUAUUAUAGUGUAUAUUAUUUAAUUAAUUAAUAAAAUGAUAUAAAAUAUUAAAUGAUUUUAAUUAGUUAUUCUAAAGAAAUGAUUGCGAUCAAUCAAUAAGUGCCGGUGCUAAUCCUCUCUGGUAGGAAAACAGCUUGAUGUAGAAAUUUCUAAGAAAUGAACACAAAGAAGCAGAAAGCAACACGGCAAGGGACUCCAUCAUCUCUGUCCACUAUCAUUGACUUUUUUCCCAAUCAGAGAACAAUAAAUGUGGCGUGACUUCUUUCAUUGACUUCAAUCUCCAGUUUUGCUAAGCUUAUCUCCAUUCCUUGUCCACAUUACCUUUCAUUUCAUCUGAUAAAAAGAUUUAACUUUCUUUCUUCCACCAUGAGGGCUGCUAGCUAGCUGAUCACCCAAAAGAUGAACUCUCUCAAAUAUUACGUUAUCCUGCUCUCGUUGCUUACCCUUGCCAUUAUCACUCUAGCACAGGAGGAUGCCAAUUAUCUCCAUCAUAAUUGCCAAAACGCAUCCACCUCCGCAAUAAACAGCACCUACCGAGUCAAUCUAAAUCUCCUCCUCUCUUCACUUGCCUCAAACGCAACCCGGAAUAAUACCAAUGGAUUCUACAACACCUCUUUCGGGCAG